rnacentral:rRNA from 1 species
CCUACGGGUGGCAGCAGUGAGGAAUAUUGGUCAAUGGACGAGAGUCGGAACCAGCCAAGUAGCGUGAAGGAUGACGGCCCGAUGGGUUGUAAACUUCUUUUAUAAAGGAAUAAAACGAGGCACGUGGGCCUUUUUGCAUGUACUUUAUGAAGAAGGAUCGGCUAACUCCGUGCCAGCAGCCGCGGUAAUACGGAGGAUCCGAGCGUUAUCCGGAUUUAUUGGGUUUAAAGGGAGCGUAGAUGGGUUGUUAAGUCAGUUGUGAAAGUUUGCGGCUCAACCGUAAAAUUGCACUUGAUACUGGCAGUCUUUAGUACAGUUGAGGUCGGCGGACUUCGUGGUGUCGCGGUGCAAUGCUUAGCUCUCAC